CGCCGCCUUCACCUUUUGCUCUCUCACCCACUUCAUCCCCUUCAUCGGCAUCUGUUGAUUCUGUGCCUUCAAGACCCAGCAACGCGUUUCUUCGGGGAACCAGCUUCUUCAUGCUACCUUCACCCAUUUUGGCGGCUGCUGCCAUGCUUCUUCUCUGAGCCAAGACAGACUCAUUCACUCAACUCUGUGUAGGCUUGAAUCAAUAACUGAGACAUGUUUUUUGUUCUGUUCUUUGUAAGCUUGGAUAAUUGAUUGCUAUUUGCUAAUUGGAAAAAGUUGCUUUAAU
rnacentral:lncRNA from 1 species